rnacentral:rRNA from 1 species
UACGGGGGGAGCAAGCGUUGUUCGGAUUUACUGGGCGUAAAGGGCGCGUAGGCGGUCGUGACAAGUCACUUGUGAAAUCUCCGGGCUUAACUCGGAACGGUCAAGUGAUACUGUCGGACUAGAGUACAGAAGGGGCAACUGGAAUUCUCGGUGUAGCGGUGAAAUGCGCAGAUAUCAGGAGGAACACCAAUUGCGAAGGCAGCUCGCUGGGACGUUACUGACGCUGAGACGCGAAAGCGUGGGGAGCAAAUGGG